rnacentral:rRNA from 1 species
AGUUUGAUCCUGGCUCAGGACGAACGCUGGCGGCGUGCCUAAUACAUGCAAGUCGAGCGGAACCAUWGGAGCUUGCUCCUUUGGUUUAGCGGCGGACGGGUGAGUAACACGUGGGCAACCUGCCCUGCAGAUCGGGAUAACUCCGGGAAACCGGUGCUAAUACCGAAUAGUUUGCGGCCUCUCAUGAGGCUGUACGGAAAGACGGUUUCGGCUGUCACUGCAGGAUGGGCCCGCGGCGCAUUAGCUAGUUGGUGGGGUAAUGGCCUACCAAGGCGACGAUGCGUAGCCGACCUGAGAGGGUGAUCGGCCACACUGGGACUGAGACACGGCCCAGACUCCUACGGGAGGCAGCAGUAGGGAAUCUUCCGCAAUGGACGAAAGUCUGACGGAGCAACGCCGCGUGAGUGAAGAAGGUUUUCGGAUCGUAAAACUCUGUUGUGAGGGAAGAACAAGUACCAAUUAACUACUGGUACCUUGACGGUACCUCACCAGAAAGCCACGGCUAACUACGUGCCAGCAGCCGCGGUAAUACGUAGGUGGCAAGCGUUGUCCGGAAUUAUUGGGCGUAAAGCGCGCGCAGGCGGUCCUUUAAGUCUGAUGUGAAAGCCCACGGCUCAACCGUGGAGGGUCAUUGGAAACUGGGGG